AGUGUUAUAGAGUAGUAGUUAUAGUGUUAUAGAGUAGUAGUUAUAGUGUUAUAGAGUAGUAGUUUUAGUGUUAUAGUGUAAUAGAGUAGUAGUUAUAGUGUUAUAGAGUAGUAGUUAUAGUGAUAUAGUGUAAUAGAGUAGUAGUUUUAGUGUUAUAGUGUAAUAGAGUAGUAGUUAUAGUGAUAUAGUGUUAUAGAGUAGUAGUUUUAGUGUUAUAGUGUAAUAGAGUAGUAGUUAUAGUGUAGUAGAGCAGUAGUUAUAGUGAUAUAGAGUAGUAGUUAUAGUGUUAUAGAGUAGUAGUUAUAGUGAUAUAGUGUUAUAGAGUAGUAGUUUUAGUGUUAUAGUUUAAUAGAGUAUUAGUUAUAGUGUAGUAGAGCAGUAGUUAUAGUGAUAUAGAGUAGUAGUUAUAGUGUUAUAGAGUAGUAGUUAUAGUGUUAUAGAGUAGUAGUUAUAAUGUUAUAGAGUAGUAGUUAUAGUGUUAUAGAGCAGUAGUUAUAGUUUUAUAGAGUUAUAGAGUAGUAGUUAUAAUGUUAUAGUGUUAUAGAGUAGUAGUUAUAGGGUUAUAGUGUUAUAGAGUAGUAGUUAUAGUGUUAUAGUGAUAUAGAGUAGUAGUUAUAGUGUUAUAGUGUUAUAGAGUAGUAGUUAUAAUUUUAUAGAGUAGUAGUUAUAGUGUUAUAGAGUAGUAGUUAUAGUGUUAUAGUGUUAUAGAGUAGUAGUUAUAGUGUUAUAGAGUAGUAGUUAUAGUGUUAUAGAGUAGUAGUUAUAGUGUUAUAGUGUUAUAGAGUAGUAGUUAUAGUGUUAUAGUGUUAUAGAGUAGUAGUUAUAGUGUUAUAGUGUUAUAGAGUAGUGGUUAUAGUGUUAUAGUGUUAUAGAGUGUUAUAGUGUUAUAGAGUAGUAGUUAUAGUGUUAUAGUGUUAUAGAGUAGUAGUUAUAGUGUUAUAGUGUUAUAGAGUAGUGGUUAUAGUGUUAUAGUGUUAUAGAGUAGUAGUUAUAGUGUUAUAGAGUUAUAGAGUAGGAGUUACAGUGUUAUAGUGUUAUAGAGUAGCAGUUAUAGUGUAGUAGAGUAUUAUCGAUAGUGUUAUAGUGUAGUUGCGAUAUUGACAUAAAGAUUUAUUGAUAGUUCAAUAUGUAGCUAGAUGUAGAAGGCUAAUGUUAACUAGCUAACGUUGCCCAUGAAAAGUUAGUCUAGCGAGCAAGUAUUUUAGCCAGGUAGCCCAGGACAACCAAAAAUACAAGUGUUUACUCUUUGACAGAGUCAUAGACGGGUUUAGUAUCAUGAAAGAGAGGUGGAUGGCAUUGCAGUUUCUCUAUAAGUAGGGUGAGUCAACAUGUUUGCUACUUGCACGGACGUGGCGCGCGCGCACACACACACACACACACACACACACACACACACACACACACACACAC
rnacentral:lncRNA from 1 species